rnacentral:rRNA from 1 species
GACGAACGCUGGCGGCGUGCCUAAUACAUGCAAGUAGAACGCUGAAGGAGGAGCUUGCUCUUCUGGAUGAGUUGCGAACGGGUGAGUAACGCGUAGGUAACCUGCCUGGUAGCGGGGGAUAACUAUUGGAAACGAUAGCUAAUACCGCAUAACAGUAGAUGUUGCAUGACAUUUGCUUAAAAGGUGCAAUUGCACCACUACCAGAUGGACCUGCGUUGUAUUAGCUAGUUGGUGGGGUAACGGCUCACCAAGGCGACGAUACAUAGCCGACCUGAGAGGGGGGUCGGCCACACUGGGACUGAGACACGGCCCAGACUCCUACGGGAGGCAGCAGUAGGGAAUCUUCGGCAAUGGACGGAAGUCUGAACGAGCAACGCCGCGUGAGUGAAGAAGGGUUUCGGAUCGUAAAGCUCUGUUGUAAGAGAAGAACGAGUGUGAGAGUGGAAAGUUCACACUGUGACGGUAUCUUACCAGAAAGGGACGGCUAACUACGUG